UGGCGCUGUCGGCGGCUGCUGGAGGGAGGCGGUCGCUGAACAAUAUUCUCCAAACUCGUUGGGAAAGAAAGGGAAAGGCUGGGGCGAAAAGAAACAGGUCCUCUGAGUUUUGGAGAGACGGGACUCAGUACGGAACGGCCUUGCAGGUGGCGAAACCGCAUGGCUCGUUUAGGGGCUGAAUUAGCCCAACUAACCCAUCCUGGCUCGAGGUGGCACCUGAGAAUGUGACGCCAACAACUGCCAACUCGAUGUUUAAAUUGCACGUUUUAUUUAACAUUCGUUUGAGAUGAAUACUUUUACCUUCACUUUUCAAAGGCUUUAUUUGUUCGAGUUCAAGAAGGUUGGAUAACUCAGCUCAGGACACACAGCUAGUAGACAGAAAAACCAAAAGUUGGAUAUAGGAUUUUUGCCACAAGACAUCUUCCUGGUGCUGAUGAGAAGGUUCAGUGGUAAAGAGCCCUUGAUAUUUGGAAGAUAUUCUCCCAAAGGGUCGGAGUUCAGUCCCCAGUACCAACAUCAGGCAGCUCACAACCACCACCUUUAACUGCAGCUCCAGGAGAUCCAACGCCAUCUUCUGGUCUCAUCAGGCACCCACGUGCUGCUGACUAUGUGCGCAUCCACACAGACACAUACUUGCACAGAGAAUGUUUUUAAGUAAAUCUUUUAUGAAAAAAAAAACUUUCUUAGAGAAAGGGAAAGGGUUUCAGUAUCAGACAAGGGAGAUUAUUUUGCGUGCACUGAUUAACAUAGCUCAACUGAAAAGGUCUCUUGCUGCCUCUCUGUUUCUAAGAUAAAUCAAUUAGCACCCCGCUGUCAGUUCCAGUGAGAUAACCAAUCAUUUCCGGGAUAAUUCUGUAAUCUUGAUCCCUAAUUAACAUAAAGUCCAUUUUGGAAUUUGGACUAACUCUACAAGGAUCUGCUAGUCCCAUAGAAUUCAAGUUUCAGACUAAAAUGUAAGUCGAGGGACUCUUCCAGAAUGUAUAAAUAGUGGAUGUAAUUUUCGUAUUGCUUAACCGAGAAGAUAAGUAGGUACAAGACAGAAUACAGAUGUAGUGGUGCCUUUAAAUGAAUUAAUAUCUUACUGACUGCAAAUAGAAUCGACAAACAUUUGAAUAAUUAGCAGUACUUAUGCAUAAAAGUACCUUAACUAUUCUGUCUACAGCAAUGACAGAGUUCAUCCAUGGAUUUUAGAUGCCUUAGACAAAGGGCACAACAGGCCCAGGGACAUUGUCCACCAAGAUGGGAAGUCCUUGUUGGUCCUCACAGAGGAAGCCUGAGAGACAGAAAGGGAAAGUGUCUGCCCACAACCACACAGUCACAAGCCAACGCCUUUGUGCAUAGCCAGUGUUCUUUUGAGCUGAGCAACAGUUGGCCCCAGUGAUCACUCGCCGUCUGCACCUUGGAAAGAAAGCAUUAGGAAUGGGGAGAAUAGACUCGGGUGCACAAAGACAGAACUUGACUUUUCCAAAACUGAAUGAAACGUCGUGCUUGAAUCCUUACUUUAUUAAACAUAAAGUCGUUCAUCUUUAUCAAUUCUGGAAAGAAAUUAGUCAACUCAAGAUUUCUCUCCUUGACGAAUUCCAUCUCGCACACGUUGGGGCGUGAUCAGAGGAAUUGACUUUAAGGCAUUUGAAGUUCAAGCUUUGUACAUCCAUCCGUCAUCCACAAAUCCAUGUCUGACCUGCAGCUCCCCUCUUGAGUCUUGGACGUCAUUAUGCUCCCAAGCUGCAUCUCACUGAUGAUGGUGCCUCUGCCUGCACACACAAGCCUCUGGCCAUACAGCCCACGUGGAGUUCUAAUCUACUCCCCUUUGCUUAAGCUUGAGAAAUACCAUGAGGAUACCUACAUAAUCAUGACCUUCCUAAAAUUUUCUUACGCUUCUCCUAAAAACAAGACAGACAUCUGACUGCCAUCUCGAGUACUCCCCUAAAUUCCAAAACUGCAUCAUAUGAGGCCAAAUAAAAAGGACUUUUUUCUCUUU